UACAGAGGUCCCAAGCGUUGUUCGGAUUCACUGGGUUUAAAGGGUGCGUAGGUGGAUUAGUAAGUCAGUGGUGAAAUCUCCGGGCUUAACCCGGAAACUGCCAUUGAUACUAUUAGUCUUGAAUACCGUGGAGGUCAGCGGAAUAUGUCAUGUAGCGGUGAAAUGCUUAGAUAUGACAUAGAACACCAAUUGCGAAGGCAGCUGGCUACACGAAUAUUGACACUCAGGCACGAAAGCGUGGGGAUCAAACAGG
rnacentral:rRNA from 1 species